rnacentral:rRNA from 1 species
GACGUAGGAGACGAGCGUUGUCCGGAUUUACUGGGCGUAAAGCGCGCGCAGGCGGCCCCGCAGGUCGGUUGUGAAAGCCCCCGGCUCAACCGGGUGGAGGCGAGCGAAACCGCGGGGCUGGAGGCUGGCAGAGGGUGGUGGAAUUCCCGGUGUAGUGGUGAAAUGCGUAGAGAUCGGGAGGAACAUCAGUUGCGAAGGCGGCUCUCUGGACCAGCACUGACACUGAGGCACGAAAGCGUGGGGAGCAAACAGG